CAAGCUUUUAAUUGAAGAGUUUGAUCAUGGCUCAGAUUGAACGCUGGCGGCAGGCUUAACACAUGCAAGUCGAGCGGUAGCACA
rnacentral:rRNA from 1 species